GCCUAGGCAGUGUAAUGGAAAGCGCGGCAGACCGGAUAUCUGUAAGUGCGGGUACGAGUCCCGCCUGAGGUU
rfam:Dictyocaulus viviparus strain HannoverDv2000 D_viviparus-1.0_Cont46.40, whole genome shotgun sequence.